rnacentral:lncRNA from 1 species
GUCUCUGCAGUUGCCUUUGAUGAUGACAUUGCUAUUGUUGAUGGCCGUCUUUUGCCAUUUAGGAAUUAUUACAUAUCAAAUGCAGAAGUCCGUGAAAUUCCCGACCUUGUGGGGACUGGCCUGUAUUCAUUUUACUGGGUUAUUAAAGAGGGAACUGCUAUUGAAGAGGCUACUGGCUCAGGGGAGUUGGCCCUUCCUUUCUAUUUUGAGUUGCGCUCUUUUCAGUACUUUCACUUUGUGGUUGACACAGAUAUUUUUAUAAGUUCGUCUCUUUUUUUGAUAUGCUUUGCAUUUCUUCCUUUCUUGCUGUUUGAUUGUUCCUGAUUGUUUGCAUGUUUGUUUUUAACCUAGAUGUCAUGGGAGUGGUCAUCCAUGCAUUACCUCCCCGGGAUGUGUAUUUUGAAGGGAGUAAGCGAUAUGGAAGAGAUUAUAUUAUAGUUGACCAAUG